GUCGUGUGAUCUCAAGCUGUAAAGCAGGAAGGUGGUGUUCAGGGAAACAUUUAACACAUGGCUCUGAUACCAGUAUUACAGCCUUGAACUGCACUUGGAUGCUGAUGAGAAAGUCACUAAUGUAUAGCUAGAAGUUUUGCUCAGCAAAGCUUGCACUGCUAAACAAAUAAGCAGAUGCUGUUCAACAGUGGAUUACAACAGUUUGCAAGUAAGGAGAGCUUCAACCCACUCAUUUACAAGUGAGAAAAGACCACUAACUGGGGUUUUGGAGUGUCGAGGUCCCCAGUGAACCAGGUCUGGUAGAAUCAGCAUAAAGGCCAGUCUCUAAGGACUCUGACAAGGACUCCCAUGGAUGUCGGGGGUAGCCAGAUGAGAGGAUAAGAAACUUUUCUGGUGUUGCUGUUCUGUCUGAACACAUUUGAAAUCCAGUUUCCGACCACUCUAUUUCCCAUGCUUUAGAAGAUUGCUGAGCUCAUCAAUAGAUUGCACAGUACAACAAAGGCUGAAGUUGACAAAAGCCCUGAUUAAGCAGAUUUCCAGAAGAAACUGAAAUAUUUGAACUACCUCAAAAGAAAAAAAAUGUUUUUUAUAGUUUGGCUAGUGUGUCCCAGAGGGAGACAGACUUAUUCUGUUCUGCAAUUUCAGCACCACAGUCACAAGGGACUUGAACCUCUUGAACUGAAUGAUUAGCAAGGAAGGAGUAGAAAGGUCAACUCUACUGGCAUCCUCCUCUUGACCAAAUGCAUGAAACAUGGACUCCCCAUCACCAACACUCUGUUCCUCCAGAAAGACAGGCAGAAGACAUCAUGGCAAGACCAGCAAUCUAAGCAUUGGCACUUGAUUAAUUACAUCUUUGUUUGUGCCCAGAAUAGCAACGAUGUCCUCAUCACACGAGUUAUGCUAGGAGCUGACAAUUGCUGAACCAAUCACUGACGCAUCUUCUUGGUUAUGUCACUCAAACUGGCUUCCAAAAAACUGCUACAGCAUAAACAAUGCCAACAAAAGACCAGGGUUGAUGGACUCAAGGACCCAAUCAAGCAAGACCUCUUUUACCAAUGCCUCAAGGAAAAACUGGCAAAUUCCAAUCAACUACAAUGGGAGAAUAUCGGCAGCACUUGGGGUGCCUUCAAGUCCACCAUCAUCAGCUCCUGUAAAGAGACACUUGGAUUCUCUACCAGAAAACAUCAAGACUGGUUUGAUAAGAAUGACAUCAACUCCAAGCAAAUGAAACUGAAUCACCAACGGGUCAAAGCAGAGGUCCAAAGGAAGUCCUGUAUUCUUCUUUCAACAUGAAGAACAGGUGGUGGAAGACAAAGUGAAGGGAAUUCAGCAUCUCACUGACAUACAUGAAGAGCGCAGAAUCUUUGAUGCUACCAAAGCUGUCUAUGGUCUGCAAAUUCAGGGACCAGCUCUCAAGACCUCAGAAUGGUCAAGGAAAGGGGAGCCAUCAAUGCCCGUUGCAAGGAGCAUUUUGAGGACCUUCUCAAUCAAGACUGUGUUGUUGAUGAGAGCGCUCUCAACUCCAUCCUACAACAUCCAGUCAGAGAUGAUCUUGGAAUCCCUCCAGCUGUUGACCAGAUGAGGAAAGCCAUCAAGAAAAUGAAGAACAACAAGGCAUCUGGACCUGAUAAAAUCCCCACUGAAAUCUUCAAACAGGGGGAGAGGAGCUCACAUCACAGCUGCAUGCCCUCAUCUUAAGGAUCUGGGAUGAUGAAGAAGUCCCAGAAGACCUUAAGGACACCAUUCUUGUGGCAAUCUUUAAGAAGAGGGAUAGGUGUGGCUGUGGAAAUUACAGAGGGAUCACUUUGCUGUCCACCACAGGAAAAUCAUUGCAGGAACCCUCCUGAGCCCUCCUUUUGCUUGCUGAAGAGCUCCUCCCAGAAUCACAGUGUGGGUUUAGACGUCAAGAGGCACAACUGACAUGAUCCUCACUGCAGCUGCAGGAAAAUGCCAGGAACAACAUAAACCUCUCUAUGCCACUUACAGUAAACCACAUUACACAGGACUUCCUAUAUGUUCCUCUAAUAUUUCCAUAGAACUUUACUGUUCUAAUAAUCCCACUAAAUUUUUUAGGAUUUUCAUAUAGUAAAAUGGGAAAAUUUUGUUGCUGAAAUAUCUAUUCCACCCCUGUGUUUGCCUCUUUUUUAGACCUGAGGGAGGGCACUUGGGCUAGGUACAGGCAUUCAAAAAGCCCAAGGAGGAAUUGAUCUAAGUCACGCAGUUUUCUGUAAGUGGUGUAGGUUAGAUUGGUGGUGAACAGAAAACACAUUCAUCCUUUGGUGGGGGAGGAAAUCUUAGACCGGAUUCUGCCAUUUUUAAACCAGUCUAUGUGUUCUGAACUUCUGUCAUGGGUACAGGCUAGUUUCUGAUCACUUAUAGUCGUAAAAGUACAAUGUCUGUACCUGGCCUUCAUGUCCAAAAGCUUGUCCAGCAGUUCUCCCAAUGAUACUCUUCAUCAGCGAAAGGUAUCGCAAAAAAUCCUUGCCUUUUACAUAUUAUUUUUGUAUUGUUGUAUACCCGACUAGAGGCAGAAAGUACUACAAAUUUAAUGGGAAAAUUCUAUUCUUGUGAAAUAUUAAUCUUUUAUCUCUUGCUAAAGGAGAUUUAGAUGAUCUCUACUAUUUUUAUAUGUAAAGAGCGAAAUGUGCUGUCAUUCUAAAAUUACAUUUUAGAUUAAGUAGAAUAAAGCGAUAAAAAACAGUUGUGAGGUACCAUUUAUAAAUCGUUUAUAAAGGAUUAAUCAUGGUUGAUACAUGUAGCACAGCAAGUUACACACCUGAAUAGUAUAUUAUACAAAUGGUAUUAGCUCAUCAGUAGAAAGUAGCAUUUAUGGUUUCAAGCUAUUUGUUGAAUUGUUAGACUGUAUAACCAUUGACUGACUGUUUAUUAAAACCUCUAUUUAUUCUUUUAA